AGCGAACGCUGGCGGCUGGCCUAACACAUGCAAGUCGAACGAAGCCUUCGGGCUUAGUGGCGGACGGGUGAGUAACACGUGGGAACGUACCUUUUGGUUCGGAAUAACGCAGAGAAAUUUGCGCUAAUUCCGGAUGAGCCCUUCGGGGGAAAGAUUUAUCGCCGAAAGAUCGGCCCGCGUUGGAUUAGGUAGUUGGUGUGGUAAAGGCGCACCAAGCCUACUAUCCAUAUCUGGUCUGAGAGGAUGAUCAGCCACACUGGGACUGCGACACGGUCCAGACUGCUACGGAAGGAAGAAGUGGGGAAUCUUGCGAAAUGGGCGAAAGCCUGACGCAGCCAUGCCGCGUGAAUGAUGAAGGUCUUAGGAUUGUAAAAUUCUUUUACCAGGGACGAUAAUGACGGUACCUGGAGAAAAAGCCCCGGCUAACUUCGUGCCAGCCGCCGCAGUAAUAC
rnacentral:rRNA from 1 species